rnacentral:lncRNA from 10 species
CAGCUCUCUCUGCAUUCUCUUAUUAGGAAAGUCUUUAAGGCAAAGAACUGGGUAAGAAGAGUUUAUUAUACAUUCCUGAGCAGAGGAAUGUCUCAAACAGUGGGGGUAUGAAGAACAUAUAUAAGAUGGAUCUACUAGUUCUAGAAGUUGGAAAUUCCAAGAUCAAGGUGCCAGCAGGUUUACUGAAGGCUGCUCUCUGCUCCUAAGAUGGUGCCUUGAUGUUGCAUCCUCUGGAGGGUAGGAACGAAGUGUCUUCACAUGGAAGCCAGUGAGCAAGCAGGCUGAGUGUUGCAUGAAGCCUUUUGCACAAGGACCUAAAUCACAUUUAUGAGGGCUCCUCCCUCAUGGUCUAAUCACCUCUUAAAGGCCCUACCUCUUAAGGCUAUAACGUUGGCAACAUCUAAGUAUUGGAGGGGACCCAUUCAAACCAUAGAAAAUGCUUAUAGUCUUCCCUAUUGAGUUGGUAAAUUCUGAUCUAUUCCAGUAUAUGUGAGCCCCACUGAACACAGUGCUCAGCAAUUGUAAUGCCACUUAGUUAUAAGACGCCUUCUCCACUUCUUAGAAUACAUUUGUAGACCAUGUAGUGUUUCUAGUUUGCCUUUUGGGUUUUCUCUCAACCUUAAUUUAACAAAGGAUCUUUUUCAAAUACACACAGUAUCUUCCCUGAGAAGAAUUCUGGGAAAUAAUGGAAAUAGGGAUUUUGGAAGAAAGGAAAUCGACCUUUUUAAUUAUCCCAUGACUUACACAAAUGAUGUGGGAAAAAUACCCCUCUCAAGUGACAUGUAUGUACUGACAGUUGACUCAAUAUCAAAGUCACGUGUUGGGAGUAUCAGAAUCUGAUCUGAGUGUGGUUUGAUGAGUGUCACAGAUUCAUCUGCGAAAUGUUGCACCUGACAGAUGGGACAGUCUAGUUUAAAAUUUUUCCUCAUUGAGAUCAUCAUAGGGGAUGAUUUGUUUUCAACAACUUUCAUAUUUGUGCACAGCACCCCAACCCAAAAGAAAAAAAAAUGCC